AGAGUUUGAUCAUGGCUCAGGACGAACGCUGGCGGCACGCUUAACACAUGCAAGUCGAACGAGAGAAGAGGAGCUUGCUUUUCUGAUCUAGUGGCGGACGGGUGAGUAACACGUGAGCAAUCUGCCUUUCAGAGGGGGAUACCGAUUGGAAACGAUCGUUAAUACCGCAUAACAUAAUUGAACCGCAUGAUUUGAUUAUCAAAGAUUUAUCGCUGAAAGAUGAGCUCGCGUCUGAUUAGCUAGUUGGUAAGGUAACGGCUUACCAAGGCGACGAUCAGUAGCCGGACUGAGAGGUUGAUCGGCCACAUUGGGACUGAGACACGGCCCAGACUCCUACGGGAGGCAGCAGUGGGGAAUAUUGCACAAUGGAGGAAACUCUGAUGCAGCGAUGCCGCGUGAGGGAAGAAGGCUUUAGGAUUGUAAACCUCUGUCUUCAGGGACGAAAAAAGACGGUACCUGAGGAGGAAGCUCCGGCUAACUACGUGCCAGCAGCCGCGGUAAUACGUAGGGAGCGAGCGUUGUCCGGAAUUACUGGGUGUAAAGGGAGCGUAGGCGGGAUCGCAAGUCAGAUGUGAAAACUAUGGGCUUAACCCAUAAACUGCAUUUGAAACUGUGGUUCUUGAGUGAAGUAGAGGUAAGCGGAAUUCCUAGUGUAGCGGUGAAAUGCGUAGAUAUUAGGAGGAACAUCAGUGGCGAAGGCGGCUUACUGGGCUUUAACUGACGCUGAGGCUCGAAAGCGUGGGGAGCAAACAGGAUUAGAUACCCUGGUAGUCCACGCCGUAAACGAUGAUUACUAGGUGUGGGGGGACUGACCCCUUCCGUGCCGCAGCAAACGCAAUAAGUAAUCCACCUGGGGAGUACGACCGCAAGGUUGAAACUCAAAGGAAUUGACGGGGGCCCGCACAAGCAGUGGAGUAUGUGGAUUAAUUCGAAGCAACGCGAAGAACCUUACCAGGUCUUGACAUCGUAUGCAUAGCUCAGAGAUGAGUGAAAUCUCUUCGGAGACAUAUAGACAGGUGGUGCAUGGUUGUCGUCAGCUCGUGUCGUGAGAUGUUGGGUUAAGUCCCGCAACGAGCGCAACCCUUACUGUUAGUUGCUACGCAAGAGCACUCUAGCAGGACUGCCGUUGACAAAACGGAGGAAGGUGGGGAUGACGUCAAAUCAUCAUGCCCCUUAUGACCUGGGCCUCACACGUACUACAAUGGCUGUCAACAGAGGGAAGCAAAGCCGCGAGGUGGAGCGAACCCCUAAAAGCAGUCUUAGUUCGGAUUGUAGGCUGCAACCCGCCUACAUGAAGUCGGAAUUGCUAGUAAUCGCAGAUCAGCAUGCUGCGGUGAAUACGUUCCCGGGCCUUGUACACACCGCCCGUCACGCCAUGGGAGUCGGUAACACCCGAAGCCUGUAGUCUAACCGCAAGGAGGACGCAGUCGAAGGUGGGAUUGAUGACUGGGGUGAAGUCGUAACAAGGUA
rnacentral:rRNA from 1 species